UACGGAGGGGGCUAGCGUUGUUCGGAAUUACUGGGCGUAAAGCGCACGUAGGCGGCUUUGUAAGUUAGAGGUGAAAACCUGGGGCUCAACUCCGGGCCUGCAGCCGAUACGGGCAGACUAGAGUUCGGCAGGGGAGACUGGAAUUCCUGGUGUAGCGGUGAAAUGCGCAGAGAUCCGGAGGAACACCAGUGGCGAAGGCGGCUCGCUGGGCUCUACCUGACGCUGAGGCGCGAAAGCGUGGGGAGCGAACCGG
rnacentral:rRNA from 1 species